GGUGGCUCAGUCGGUUAAGCGUCUCUUGAUCUCAGCUAAGGUCUUGAUCUCAGGGUCGUGAGUUCAAGCCCCACAUUGGGCUCUGCACUGGGCACGAAGCCUACUUGAAAAAAAAAAAUUUGCUCAAAUGUCUCUAGAUUCUUGACUAUCCCUUCACAGUUACGGAUGGGGCCUUAAAACUGUUGGAAGCUCUCUGUACUUUGUCAGGACUAAUCAACUCUUGGGCCUCAUUUUAGGAUGCGUGGUAGGCAGAAAAAGGACCCGCGAGAGAUGCCCAAGGCUCCACCCCCGGAAUCUGUGAAAACGGUGCUUUAGACGGCAUGAGGGACUUUGCACAGGUGAUUCGGUUAAGGCCUUUGAGAUGGGGAAAGAAGCAUGCAUUACCCAGGUAGGAUCAAUCCAAUCACAUGAGUUCUUAAAAGCAAAUCUUUCCCGGCUGUGGUCGGAGAGACCCAAUGUUGCUGGCCAAGGAACGCCGUCACCUCUAGAAGCUGGAAAAAGCAGGGGGUAUGGGGGAGGGGGAACGAUCUCCUCUAGAAUUUCCAGAAAGGAACACAGCCUUGCUGACUCAAGAUUUUGCCCCAGUGAGACCUGUAUCCGACUUCUGGCCUUCAGAAUGAUCUGGAAAAGCACCUAGAGUCACAAACUCAGAAACGCAGAACAGGAAUAGACCCCUACUACCACCGAGCGAACGAACAAAAACAGGACAAUAUGAAAUGAGUGUAUCGCGGUAAUGGUGGAAGAGCUUCUCUGAUCAGCAAAUAACAGUCAUAAAUUCCUGUCACAUAUAAAAACAACCACUUGAAGGCACACUGGAGAACAGCCAGAAAGAACCAGAAAACUGGCGGACACUGGGCAGAAGAGCAGAGUACUGGGCAUCUAUGAGAAGUAAAUCCUCGGCUUGUGAGUGCACAUUAUAACAACGGCAAGGACUGUCUGGGGACUGGCUUCUGCUUCUGUGCAUUCCAAGCCCAGUUCUGCUACCACAACUCACAUCAUUUUGGUGCCAGGCAGGCAGUCUUGUUGCAAUAGGACCGCGAUGCUGGGAGAGUAGGCUCCAUGAGAUCACCAGUGUUCUCCGAAGCCGUUCCAGCACCAGAACGCAUAGGAAUAACUUAAUUCUACAGAAAUGACUGCAAAUCACAUGAAGAUCGUCUGUGAACCCCAAAUUGCUUCUUCAGCUCCACUCUGCCUUAGCCAGAUUCAAGUCGUACUAAGGCGACCCAGCGGGACUGGAUCUGAGGAGGCAUGUGACCUAGGGAAAGUUGGAGAAGGAAGAGCAACUUUAACAGGCUAUGGUUACAAUAGAUCUCACACGGGGCACCUGGGGGGGCUCAGUCAAUUAAGUGUCUGACUUCAGCUCAGGUCACGAUCUCACAGUUCGUGGGUUUGAGCCCCAAGUCGGGCUCUGUGCUGACAGCUCGGGGACUAGAGCCUGCCUCGGAUUCUGCGUCUCCCUCU